CGGGGUGUAGUGUAUCGGUAACACGCUGCGUUCGGGACGCAGAGACACUGGGUUCAAUUCCCAGCACCCCGA
rfam:Microgenomates (Woesebacteria) bacterium GW2011_GWB1_43_14 TV74_C0013, whole genome shotgun sequence.